rnacentral:rRNA from 1 species
CCUACGGGCGGCUGCAGUGGGGAAUAUUGGACAAUGGGGGGAACCCUGAUCCAGCCAUGCCGCGUGUGUGAAGAAGGCCCUCGGGUUGUAAAGCACUUUCAGUGAGGAAGAACGCCUGGUGGUUAAUACCCAUCAGGAAAGACAUCACUCACAGAAGAAGCACCGGCUAACUCCGUGCCAGCAGCCGCGGUAAUACGGAGGGUGCGAGCGUUAAUCGGAAUUACUGGGCGUAAAGCGCGCGUAGGUGGCUUGAUAAGCCGGUUGUGAAAGCCCCGGGCUCAACCUGGGAACGGCAUCCGGAACUGUCAAGCUAGAGUGCAGGAGAGGAAGGUAGAAUUCCCGGUGUAGCGGUGAAAGGCGUAGAGAUCGGGAGGAAUACCAGUGGCGAAGGCGGCCUUCUGGACUGACACUGACACUGAGGUGCGAAAGCGUGGGUAGCAAACAGGAUUAGAUACCCGAGUAGUC